rnacentral:rRNA from 1 species
CACGUAGGGGGCGAGCGUUGUCCGGAUUUAUUGGGCGUAAAGAGCUCGUAGGCGGCUCAGUUAGUCGGGUGUGAAACCCCCGGGCUCAACCCGGGGACGCCACCCGAUACUGCUGUGGCUAGAGUCCGGUAGGGGAGCGUGGAAUUCCUGGUGUGAGCGGUGAAAUGCGCAGAUAUCAGGAGGAACACCAGCGGCGAAGGCGGCGCUCUGGGCCGGAACUGACGCUGAGGAGCGAAAGCGUGGGGAGCAAACAGG